UACGUAGGGUGCAAGCGUUGUCCGGAAUUAUUGGGCGUAAAGAGCUCGUAGGCGGUUUGUCGCGUCUGGUGUGAAAAUCCAGGGCUUAACCCUGGACCUGCAUCGGGUACGGGCAGACUAGAGUGCGGUAGGGGAGAUCGGAAUUCCUGGUGUAGCGGUGAAAUGCGCAGAUAUCAGGAGGAACACCGGUGGCGAAGGCGGGUCUCUGGGCCGAUACUGACGCUGAGGAGCGAAAGCGUGGGGAGCGAACAGG
rnacentral:rRNA from 1 species